rnacentral:snoRNA from 1 species
UAAGGGCAAGUUUUUUACUAACACCACAAGGGUCUCUAGCCCAAUGAGUGGAGUUCGAUAGCAAUCCUUGCU